rnacentral:tRNA from 3 species
GGACCCGUAGCUCAGCCAGGACGGAGCGCCGGCCUCCGGAGCCGGCGGUCCCGGGUUCAAAUCCCGGCGGGUCCG